AUGAUGAUCCCCACUCCUCUCCUGGGGUUGCUACUGCUCUUGCUUUCAGGUGCCAGAUGCAACAUUCAGAUGACACAGUCCCCACUGUCCCUUUUUGCGUCUCUGGGAGACACUGUCACCAUCAUAUGCCAGGCCGGUGAAAACAUUUACAGUAGUUUAACAUGGUAUCAGCAGAAACCAGGGAAUCCUUCCAAGCUUCUGAUCUAUGGUGCAAACGGAUUGGAAGAUGGGGUCCCAACGAGAUUCAGUGGCAGUGGAUCUGGCACACAGUUUUCUCUCAAGAUCAGCAACCUGCAAUCUGAAAAUGCUACAACAUAUUACUGUCAACAGGGUCUCAGUUUCCGUCCCACUGUGAUUCAAGACAUGAUAUAA